rnacentral:rRNA from 1 species
GACGAACGCUGGCGGCGUGCUUAACACAUGCAAGUCGAGCGGUAAGGCCCUUUCGGGGGGUACACGAGCGGCGAACGGGUGAGUAACACGUGGGUAACCUGCCCUUCGGUGGGGAAGUAACCCGCGAAAGCGGGGCUAAUUCCGCNUAACAUUCCGGGGACACAUGUUCUCGGACUCAAAGGAGUGAUUCGCCGGAGGAGGGGCCCGCGCCCGAUUAGCUUGUUGGUAGGGUAACGGCCUACCAAGGCUUUGAUCGGUAGCCGANCUGAGAGGAUGGCCGGCCACACUGGAACUGAGACACGGUCCAGACUCCUACGGGAGGCAGCAGUGGGGAAGUCUUGCGCAAUGGGCGAAAGCCUGACGCAGCGACGCCGC